ensembl:lincRNA 5730419F03Rik RIKEN cDNA 5730419F03 gene
ACUUGCGUUCAAAACCAGUCUGCUUUAAGGGGAAUUGCCAGAUCCAUUCUCCUAGACUCCCUGCCUGUACACACUGCUGUGAGGGGGCAAAAGUGACUUAACCCUCCUCUCCUUGUUUUCCUCUCGGGACAAAUGAAAUCCAGACAGGAGCAGCCCAGUGAGGAGCUUAUCAUGGGAUAAGGAGGCCGACUGGCUCCAGGAAAAACUUCAACAAGAUCAGUUACAGGAGCCAGGUGGAACGUGUGCUUCCCUCCAGGAUAGAUUUCAGAUUUUUGCCUGCAGCUACCUGUUGGGAUCAAAACACCCUGCCCCUGCAUUUUAAUUCUUUGAUCAGAAGAGAAGAACAAACUGGAUCCAGACUCCUAGCUGGCAAUAUGAAGAUGAUAAGAGAAGAUAAUAAGGAAAAUGAUGGAAGUUGAUAUAUACACAUGUAUGUAUGAAAUUAUGAAAUAACAACUAUAGAAGGAGAGACAUGAAGUCAGACAUGGUAACACAGACCUGGAAUCCUGUCACCCUGGCAAGGUGUGAGGGUUUGCCUACCUCCAACUCAAUUACUAUCUGGCUUUUAGUCUAAUCUGUAAGGUGCUUGUUAGAACUGUUUGAUAUCUUUUGGGAAAGGGGGCAAGUUUCCCCUCUGGCUGGUGCCCUUUCCUUCUCCUGGCAAGAGCUAGCAUGAGAUUCCUGGGGAAUUCUCAUUUCAGGAAGUCAGUCCACUGUUUCAACCGUCUGACAGUCAGUGCAGGAAAUCAAGAGACAUCAGAUCCCCAGAACUAGAGAAACAACAACAACAAAACGAUUAAAAACUGAUCCAUGUGGGCUGAGAACCAAACCCAGGACCUCUGCAAGAACAGCAAGGGCUCUUAACCACUGAGCCACCUCGCCAGCCCUGAUACAAAGGUCUCUUUAGAAUAUCUUCAUUCCUACCAUGCUGGUUACAUCUGGCGGAUCAUGACUUCCAAACCAGCCUGGGCCCAUAGCAAAACCCUGUCCCAGAGACAAGGAAGGAAAUAACCAGCGCUCAGGAAGCAGAGGCAAGAGGAUCAAUUGAAAUUUGAGGUCAACCUUGGCUAACUUGUCUCGAAAACCAAAUGAUGAAAUAAACCACGACCGAAAACAGACAAGAAGAAAAGCGCUAUCGGGUAAUUCCUUCCUUGGUUCCUAAUCUGGUGGAGGCCGUGGUUAUGUGAGGACACAGGAGAAGGUGGACGUGUGUAAGCCAGCAGUGGAGAGUCAUCCUAAUCUUAGACUUCUCUAAAAUCUAGGCUGAGGAGGAAAGAAAUCUGCUGGUUAAGUCAGCAAGUCCAGCACUGUCACGGUAGUUCAGCUCGAAAAGACAGGCAAUGGGACUGAUGACCUGAAUUUGAUCCCUGGGACCUAUAUGAUGGAAAGAAAGAGCAAGUCCUCCCAGCUGUCAUCUGACCUCCACAUUCCUGCACGGCAUGCCCGGUUCUCAGGCACAUACAACCACAGGAGCAAAAUUAACAGAUAAAUGUCAUUUAAAAAAAAAAUCAUGCCACAUAGUCUACAGUGCUUCCUUAGCUGAGGUGACAGAGCAUAGAGACGGAGCCCCCAGAACAACCAACUUGUGCCCCGCAGUUUAGAUCUGGGCCUAACACAGGCAAGAGUGAGCUGUCUUCAGACCUGUGGCUACAGACCCAGAGAGUCUAUCUGUAGUGGAAGUUAUGUGAAUCUUAGCCUAGGAGCUUCAUGGCGUUUAUAUGAGCCACAUGAUCUUCCCUUCCCCCGAGGAACAGCAGGUCUCACUUUCUCGAAAUUACAAAUGUUGUCAUUUUUGUGAGACUCAAACUGACAUGUCAGGAAACACUUGUAUAAAAGCCAUCUAAAAAUACACACCAACUUGUCAUAGUUCCUGUCUUUAGGAGGAGUUGGAGAGAGGAUAGGAUUAGUUUUCAAUAAUUCAACUACUUUAUGGUUUUAAAAAACCCAACUAUACACUGUACCAGAAAGAAAUCCUACUUUCUGGUUAUUUCUUAUUGGUAUGAGCUUGACUCCCAGCCGGGUCCAGAAAUACCAUCUUACUGAAGAAGGAGGAGGAGGAGUUAAUUUUGGAAAUAAAGAUUAAGAGUAUUU